rnacentral:rRNA from 1 species
GAUGAACGCUAGCGGCAGGCUUAACACAUGCAAGUCGAGGGGUAUAGCACUUCGGUGCUAGAGACCGGCGCACGGGUGCGUAACGCGUAUGCAAUCUACCUUUCACAGAGGGAUAGCCCAGAGAAAUUUGGAUUAAUACCUCAUAGUAUAGUGAGUUGGCAUCAACACACUAUUAAAGUCACAACGGUGAAAGAUGAGCAUGCGUCCCAUUAGCUAGUUGGUAAGGUAACGGCUUACCAAGGCGACGAUGGGUAGGGGUCCUGAGAGGGAGAUCCCCCACACUGGUACUGAGACACGGACCAGACUCCUACGGGAGGCAGCAGUGAGGAAUAUUGGUCAAUGGACGCAAGUCUGAACCAGCCAUGCCGCGUGCAGGAUGACGGUCCUAUGGAUUGUAAACUGCUUUUGUACGAGAAGAAACACUCCAACGUGUUGGAG